GACGAACGCUGGCGGCGUGCUUAACACAUGCAAGUCGAACGAAGAGCGACGGAAGCUUGCUUCUCUCAAUCUUAGUGGCGAACGGGUGAGUAACGCGUAAUCAACCUGCCCUUCAGAGGGGGACAACAGUUGGAAACGACUGCUAAUACCGCAUACGAUCUAAUCUCGGCAUCGAGGAUGGAUGAAAGGUGGCCUCUACAUGUAAGCUAUCACUGAAGGAGGGGAUUGCGUCUGAUUAGCUAGUUGGAGGGGUAACGGCCCACCAAGGCGAUGAUCAGUAGCCGGUCUGAGAGGAUGAACGGCCACAUUGGGACUGAGACACGGCCCAGACUCCUACGGGAGGCAGCAGUGGGGAAUCUUCCGCAAUGGACGAAAGUCUGACGGAGCAACGCCGCGUGAGUGAGGACGGCCUUCGGGUUGUAAAGCUCUGUUAAUCGGGACGAAAGGCCUUCUUGCGAAUAGUGAGAAGGAUUGACGGUACCGGAAUAGAAAGCCACGGCUAACUACGUG
rnacentral:rRNA from 1 species